GACGAACGCUGGCGGCGUGCUUAACACAUGCAAGUCGAACGGAAAGGCCCUGCUUUUGUGGGGUGCUCGAGUGGCGAACGGGUGAGUAACACGUGAGUAACCUGCCCUUGUCUUUGGGAUAACUUCAGGAAACUGGGGCUAAUACCGGAUAGGAGCUCCUGCUGCAUGGUGGGGGUUGGAAAGUUUCGGCGGUUGGGGCUGGACUCGCGGCUUAUCAGCUUGUUGGUGGGGUAGUGGCGUACCAAGGCUUUGACGGGUAGGCGGCCUGAGAGGGUGACCGGCCACAUUGGGACUGAGAUACGGCCCAGACUCCUACGGGAGGCAGCAGUGGGGAAUAUUGCACAAUGGGCGGAAGCCUGAUGCAGCAACGCCGCGUGCGGGAUGACGGCCUUCGGGUUGUAAACCGCUUUCGCCUGUGACGAAGCGUGAGUGACGGUAAUGGGUAAAGAAGCACCGGCUAACUACGUG
rnacentral:rRNA from 1 species